UUCUGUUGAAAGUGACGGUGAAGGAGCUAUUAGGUUCCGAAAGUUUAGCCGACAUUGAAGGAUAGUUGAGGUUUCUUGGUAAGGUGUUUCCAGUGCAAGUGACAGCUUCACCGGUAAUGAGUUUAAGGGUUUUGGAAGUGUAGUUCAAGCCGCAGAGAAAGGUGAUGUGGUCUGCUUUGUCCAGUUCAUAGACAAGUCCAGGAUUUAGAGCAGCUAUUGGGUCGACAUGGCCAGCUCCAUAAGCAAACUCGGUUGAUGCAACCCCAGUGUCAGAAGCAUUCAUCGACCAAGCUGCAAAUGUUAAUUAAGAGACACCAUAUAAGAACAGAGUUAUCAGCCAAAAGGUUACUUGUGCGACAAGAAACUAAAUGAUGUAUAUGAUUAUUGCGUGUUACCGGUUGUCAUGAUGGCAGAUUGGAUCAUGGAUGGAGACCAGUCAGGAUGAAAAGUCUUGAUGUAUGCAGCCACGCCUGUAACAUGUGGACAAGACAUUGAAGUUCCAGAGAGAACAGAGUAGUUAACAUGUCUCUGGUCGAUAUAUUCUGUAGGUGAACCCAAAGGUGAAUAGGCAGCGAGAAUCUCCACUCCUGGUGCUGUUAUAUCCGGCUGCAUUUCAAUCAACCUUUGUCUCUUAAAAUAAUAUUUGUAAACAAAAUCGAACAAAGAUAAAACAGUAUAUGUCACCUUAAGAAGGUCUACAGCGAUAGGGUUUGGACCGCGAGAAGAGAAGGAAGCAACUUUAGGCGCUUUCUGAUUAAAUUCUGCCUCAGUUUUUAGAACAGUGCCUUGAAUCGACCUGAGAAUAACAAACAUAGAAAUAUCAAGACAAAGGAAAAAUCUGGAGAAUAUUUAAGUGCAUGAAACAGAGAGAGAGUUACUUUGUGGAGUUAACGUAAGAGACAAGAAAGUCAAAGUCAUCUGGUGAUAGAGCAGAGAGAGGACGAGAGCUAAUGGUGGCAUAGUUUUUGUAGUCUUUAGUUAUGGUUGCAACAGCUACAUCUGAACUAAAUGAAUAUACGCUCACCAAUAUUUUUCCCUUUGCCUCAGAUCCUUGGAAGACAAGAGGAUAGUUCUUUCCUUGCAGAUCAAAAGCAUUCACUGAUCUCCCCUGUUAAGACAAAAAAAAAUGUAUAAAAGGGAUAAAGAAAGAAGAUACAAUAUAACUUCUUUAAAUUAAUACUUUAUAAAUUAAUAUACAUUAAAAAUUUCUAUAAAAUAUUUAUAGUCUUAAAUUGAAUUUCUGAUUCAGUUCGUAUAUCAAUAAAUUAAUAUUUUUAUAAAUUAAUAAAAAAUUAUAGUUUUGGUGUAGUUCCAACAUUAUUAAUUUAUAGAGGUUUCUUUGUAUUAUGAUAUGAAUGAGAAUGUUACUUGAUACUUACGGAAAGUGUCUUGCCGUUUUGGAUAACAACUUUGGUCAGAAACUCACGGUUUGUUGUGCUGGCUCCAACGGUUAAUAUCCACGGCGCAACGCUACUGACUGAGGUUGGUUUCGGACCGCUGUUACCGGCUGAGUUCACAGUGAGGAUCCCUUUGGCCAUAGCGUGGAAAGCCCCAAUGGCGGUUGUGUCCUCUUCGUACCUACGGGCCGCCCCUCCCCCGAUGGAGAUGCUGAUGAAGUCCACACCAUCUGCUAUUGCAUCAUCAAACGCAGACAGUACAGCUUCUGAGCCACACUCUGUGCUGGUGCAGACUUUGUAAGCAGCGAUUCUAGCAGCUGGAACACCGCCUCUAGCGGUUCCAUUGCCGAUUCCAAAGAAGCUUGUCCCCGCAACUGCGUUUCCAGCUGCGAUGGAUGAUGUGUGUGAACCGUGGCCGUCGAGGUCCCUGGUGCCUUCUCUUGUGUAGUCUCUUGCUCCGAUCAACUUGCUGCAACAUUGUAAGCAAUAUUUUAAACACCAGUCUUUCUUUACAAACAAUAGUAAUCUUAUAAGAGAGACAUUUUGGAGAUUUACUUGUUGCAUGUGAAGUUUUUGCCGCCGGAACAAACACCUUUCCAUUUCUUUGGAGGAGGACCAAAGCCUUUGUCCGAGAAGCUCUCAGAUUCUGGCCAAAUCCCAGUGUCAAUAAGACCGAUGAUAGUAUCACUUUCUACGGCUGGGUUUCGCUUUGUAUUAUUUCCUUCCUUUAACCCCAUGAAGUCCCAGGACGCCGUCGUUUGGAUAUGUAACUUCUCGCUCCGGAACACAGACACAACUCCUUCCAUUUCUAAGACAAAAAUGAGACAUUGGUUUCAGUUAUCUAAAAAUAUAAGUAGGACUCAGCUUGAAAUCCAUAAUUCAAAAUCCGAACCCGAACCAAAAAAUCUGAUUUUUACCUGGUUUAAAAUGUAAAAAAUAGCCGAAUGGUCUUGUAAGUAUUACGAAACAUAUCUGAGUCCAAGGUAUUAUUAACCAAACCCGAAAAACAAAAAAAUCCAAAAAAAAUAUCUGAAGAAACUGAUUCAAAUGUCUAAAUUAAUAUACAAUAUAAAUAUUCAAAACAUAAAAUAUGUACUUCAAACAUUUAACUUCAUAUUUAUUUUAUAUAAUAACUACCAAUAAGUAUUUAAAAUUUAAACGAGUACCUUAAUUACUCAAUUUAUAUAAAUAAUUAUAUAUUUAUUAUGUUUUGCUUUUAAAUUUUAGAUUUUGCUUCAGGUAUAUCCAAACUGAUCCAAUAUAAUAUGAAAUUUGAACGAUAUAUGAUUUACUUUAUGGGUUAUAGGAUAUAAUAUAAAACCGACCCAAAAUCGAUGUGUUAUAUCUGAACCUGGGCCAUACUUUCAAAUUUACUAUAAUGAGAUCUAAGAAGUGUUAUAAGAUAGAACCGAAAUCCGAAAGCCUAAAUCCGAACGGGUACCUGAACGCCCAUGCCUAAACAUAAGUGUGUGCAGGUUAAAAAGAUAAGUGUGUCUCUGUCAUAUAUUACUCACCGGCUAUUUUUUCUCGUUCUGGCUCAGAGAGCCGGGCCGCAAACCCAUUGAAACUCCUCUUGUAACUUCUCACCAAACGACCGUCGAUCGAACUGUGUAUAUAUAAUAUAUGUGUAUAAUACAUGUAUCACUUGGUCGAAUACUCAUAAUAGCGUAAACUAAUUAUAACUUAAAAAAUGAAUCUGUGUAUUAGCACCUUUCUCCAGUGAUCUCUUGAAGGAUGCUCAUGUGAUGAGACAUUGGUGAGUAUUCUAGCACAGACGGAAGUGAUCCCAUGUAGACAAUAUACACCUUCAUGAAUUAUAUUAUAUUAUAUUAUCAUGUAUGAUGUAUUGGAUUCAAAUAAUAAUACAGAUAAACGAAAUACUUGAUAACCGUUAAAUACUUGAUACCUGUUUAUCUUGAGGAUCAUCUGUAACUGCUAAGACUGAACUCAAGAACAAGACGAGGACACAUGCGAGGAGACAAAAUGAGUUCGCUGGUAAUUUUUCCAUUUUCUUAUAAAAUGAAGUAAUCUGUAAAUUUCUAUGGGAUGUACAUAUGAUAAGAUGCAUGUAUAGUAGAAAACUCCUCUGAUUCUGUUUCUCUUUUUGCAAUUGACUUUUAGUCAACAUUCUAUUUACAUAAUUAAUUUCUUGUUGAAAACUAAAAUAUCUUAACUUAUUUAAUUUUCUGUUGAAGUGAUUUCAUCAUUUCUCAUCAUCACAUUCAUUGUGGACAUGAUAAGAUGCAUAAAUAUAUAGUAGAAAAAAUCAUCUGAUUCUGUUUCUCUUAUUGCAAUUAUAUUAACACUAUAUUUUUUAACCGCGCUACGCGCGGAUAAGAUAUUAUAUGUAUUUCUCAAUUCUAAAAAAUAAUGUAUAAUAUUAUAUUACAUUAUUUAUAGAAUAUAAAAUAAGACUACAUAACAUAAAUAUAUUUUUUAAAUUUUCUUUCUGGAAAUCAUUAUAUUGUUUGAUUGUUGUACUUGAUUCACAUAUUUGCAUAGUUAUUUGUGAUAGAUGAACAACUAUAUUUUUAUUAUCAGUAAAUAAUAUAUAUUUAUCAUAUAAUAUAAGAAAAAUGAAAUUAUUUACUUUUUAAACAAAGUUGUCUCAUGUUGGGGAUUCAGUUAUAGACAUAUAAUAUUCGAAAGAGACAUUUUUACAGUUAUCAAUCUUCUUAACAAUCAAGAAACAAAUUUGAAUAUCAAAACAAUAUCUCAUACGAUCUCUUUGUGGAAUAACUGCUCUGAAAAAAUUGAAUUUAUACAUCAAAAAGGACUGAAAAUGCUGUGCAGGUAUGUUAUCUAAGUCAACUUUACAAAGUACUACUAUUCAUAGUUCAUAAAUCAUUUAAGUCCAUCAUUUCUUAAACAUUUUGAAAUAACAGAUGCUAAUUAAUAAUAAACUUUUGGCUGGCAAAAAAAAAAAUCAAAAUUUUCUAAUUAUCGCUUAAAUAUUUUAUUAAUAUUGUCUAAGAAGCUUUCAAUUGAUAUCAUAGUUUAAUUUUUUGUUAAUUUUAGAGUUUUUUGUAUUUAAGAUUUUUUUUCAUAUUAAGCUUAUAUUUCUUUCACAUAAUAUAUAUAUGUCAUAAAAAUUACCAUCAAAUCAGUUUUACUUAUUUAUUAUUUUGUUUUUAAUGAAAAUACACUUUUAAAUCAUUUAAUUUAAAAUAAAAUUAUAUAUUAAUUUAUUGUAUUCUAACAAUUUGAUUGAUUUAAUUAAUUUGCUUUGGUGGAUAACUUAAAAAGUUUUCAUAUGAAUCGGGGAAAGCAAGCUUAUGUUGUUAUAUUAUAUUUAUUUGUGUAUAUGGAAUCUAUAUAUAAUGCUAGUGUAAUAAAGAAAGAACAUUAUUUUUUUGUAACUUCAAAAAGAUACAUUAUUACAAUUUGAAAUUAUUCAAAAUUGAAUAAAAUGGUAAUUAAAUAAAUCUAAUUGUUUUUUAUCUUGUUUAGUUGGAUUCUCAUGAAAAGAAAUCGAUAGGUUAAACAAAUGUUUCAAAAUUUGUUGUGUUAUUGUUUUGUCUAUAAAUUACAAAAUUUAUUGAAUUGAUAUAUUUAAUUAUUGCACCCUUAAAUAAUAUUUUAUUAAGACAUUAGAGAACUAUGUUUUGAGUUGUUUUGUCAAAAUUGUACAAAAAUCUAUGCUUUUUCAUAUUUGUCACGAAAAUUUAUAUGUUAAACUUACUUUUACAAAAUUCUUAACUUUGUCACGAAAACAAAAAUCUAUGCUUUUUCAUAUUUGUCUAUGCUUUUUUAGAUCAUUAUUUCUUUUUACAAAACAAAGUAUCGGAGUCUUGAAAGUUGAAUCCAUAUUAUUGUAAAUAUACAUAAAGUUUGUGAUUAUAUAUUUAGUGAUUCUUGUAUAUGUGUUCAAGAAAGUUUCAAUGGCUUAGUGGUAUCUGCACUAUAUUUAUGUCAUACUAACCCGAGUUCGAUCCUUGUCUUUGCAUUGUUUUUUUCAUUUUUUACGAAAAAAUAAAUGAGAUGACGUGGCAACUUCGGACUCUCUGAUUGGACGAUUUUUUGUGCCUACGUGGACACUCUAAGAGGAGCUUAUAUUCCCUUUUUAGUAUAGUAUAGAUAACUAGGUGGUAAUCCGCGUCCUGGGCGGAAUGAUGGACUAAAAGAAAUUAUAACUUUAAAACUAUAUAGAUCAGACAUAGAAUCAACGAGAUUACUCAAACAUAAGGAUUAUAUUGAUUUAUUAUAUUAAAUAUUAUCAGAUUGUAUCAGGGAUAUCAGUAUAAACAACAAUGGGGCUUCUAACUUUAUGGAUGCCAUCAGACCAUAUUAAACUUGCAGAAGAAGGCAGCUUUGGGUCGAUGUUGCUGCCUGAAAUAGUCACGGUGAAAGACUGCUUCUCCUUCACCGACUUCAUAGACAGGACAUUAGGCGUAACCUCGACAUUGAGCUUAGAACCCUGAUUUAAGACAAUCUGCGAUAUGUAUGUAGAGUUGGGGGUACCGACGUUGGUGACGGUUCUGUUGAAAGUGACGGUGAAGGGGCUAUUUGAUCUAGCACGUUUAACCGUCAUUGAAGGAUAGUUGAGGUUUCUUGGUAAGGUCUUUCCAGUGCAAGUGAUGGCUUCACCGGUAAUGAGUCUAAGGGUUUUGGAAGUGUAUUUCAAGUCGCAGAGAAAGGUGAUGUGGUCUGCUUUGUCCAGUUCGUAGACAAGUCCAGGAUUUAGAGCAGCUAUUGGGUCAACAUGGCCCGCUCCAUAAGCGAACUCGGUUGAUGCAACCCCAGUUUCAGAAGCAUUCAUCGACCAAGCUGCAAAUAUUAAUUAUAUAAGAACAGAGUUAUCAGCCAAAAAGGUUACUUGUGUUACAAGAAACUAGAAGAGGCAUAUGAUUUUUGCGUGUUACCAGUUGUCAUGAUGGCAGAUUGGAUCAUGGAUGGAGACCAGUCAGGAUGAAAAGUCUUGAUGUACGCAGCCACGCCAGCAACGUGUGGACAAGACAUUGAAGUUCCAGAUAGAACAGAGUACUUCACACGUCUCUGGUCUUCUAAAGAUGGUGGACUUAAAGGUGAAUAUGCAGCAAGAAUCUCCACUCCUGGUGCAGUUAUAUCCGGCUGCAUUUCACUCAACCUUUGUCUCUCAAACCCAUAUUUGUAAACAAGACGGAACAAAGAUAAAAACAGUAUUAUAUGUUACCUUAAGAAGGUCUACAGCGAUAGGGUUUGGACCACGAGAAGAGAAGGAAGCAACUUUAGGCGCUUUCUGAUUAAAGUCUGCCUCAGUUUUUAGAACAGUGCCUUGACUCGACCUGAGAAUAAGAAACAUAGAAAUAUCAAGACAAAGGAAAAAUCUGGAGAAUAUUUAAGUGCAUGAAAUAGAGAGAGAGAGAGAGAGAGAGCUACUUUGUUGAGUUAACGUAAGAGACAAGAAACUCAAAGUCAUCUGGUGAUAGAGCAGAGAGAGGACGAGAGCUAAUGGAUGCAUAGUCUUUGUAGUCUCUAAUUAUGGUUGCAACAGCUACAUCUGAACUAACUGAGUAUCCGCUCACCAAUAUUUUUCCCUCGACCUGAGAUCCUUCGAUAUAAUCUCCGUAGAUAAGAGGAUAGUUUUUUCCCUUCAGAUCAAAAGCAUUCACUGAUCUCCCCUUUUCAAGACAAAAACAAAAGAGUCAUUUGAAGGGACAGAGAAAAUACUAUUAUCAUAGGAAUGUUACUUGAUACUUACGGAAAGUGUCUUGCUGUUUUGGAGAACAACUUUGGUGAGAAACUCACGGUUGGUUGUACUGGCUGCAACGGUUAAUAUCCACGGCGCUACGCUUCCGACUGUGUUUGGAUCUGGACCGCUGUUACCGGCUGAAUUCACAGUGAGGAUACCUUUGACCAUAGCAUGGAAAGCCCCGAUCGCAAUCGUGUCUUCUUCGUACCUAAGGACCUCACCGUCGUCUCCCCCUAAGGAGACGCUGAUGAGGUCGACACCAUCUGCUAUCGCGUCAUCGAAUGCAGACAGUACAGCUUCUGAGCCACACUCAGUGCUGGUGCAGACUUUGUAAGCAGCGAUUCUAGCAGCUGGAACACCGCCUCUGGCGGUUCCAUUGCCAAUUCCAAAGAAGCUUGCCCCCGCAACUGCGUUACCAGCCGCAGUGGAUGAUGUGUGUGUACCGUGGCCUUGGUUGUCCCUGGUGCCUUCGCCUGUGUAGUCUCUUGCUCCGAUCAACUUGCUGAAACAUUGUAAACAACAUCAGUCUCUUCUUUAUAAACAAUACUAAUAUUAUAAGAUAGACAUUUUGGAGAAUUACUUGUUGCAAGUGAAGUUUUUGCCGCCAGAACAAACACCUUUCCAUUUUUUCGGAGGAGGACCAAAGCCUUUGUCGGAGAAGCUCUCGGACUCUGGCCAAAUCCCUGUGUCAAUGAGACCGAUGAUAGUAUCACUCUCUACUGCCAAGUUUCGCUUUGUAUUCUUUCCUUCCUUUAACCCCAUGAAGUCCCAAGACGCAGUCGUUUGGAUUUGUAACUUCUUGCUCCUGAACACUGACACAACUCCUUCCAUUUCUAAGACAAAAUGAGACAUUGGUUUCAGUUAUCGAACAAUAUAAGUGUGUGUACGUUAAAAAGAUAAGUGUGUCUCUGUCAAAUAUUACUCACCAGCUAUUCUUUCUCGUUCUGGCUCAGAGAGCCGGGCAGCGAACCCAUUGAAACUCCUCUUGUAACUUCUCAUCAAACGACCGUCGAUCGAACUGUAGAUAUAAAUAUUUGUGUAUGAUGCAUGUAUCACUUGUUAGAAUCCUCAUCAUAACAUAAACUAAUUAUAACUUAUUAAUGAUUAGAAAAUGAAUCUGUUAAUUAGCACCUUUCUCCAGUGAUCUCUUGAAGGAUGCUCAUGUGAUGAGACAUUGGUGAGUAUUCUAGCCCAGACGGAAAUGGCAUGGAAAGCCCCGAUCGCAAUCGUGUCUUCUUCGUACCUAAGGACCUCACCGUCGUCUCCCCCUAAGGAGACGCUGAUGAGGUCGACACCAUCUGCUAUCGCGUCAUCGAAUGCAGACAGUACAGCUUCUGAGCCACACUCAGUGCUGGUGCAGACUUUGUAAGCAGCGAUUCUAGCAGCUGGAACACCGCCUCUGGCGGUUCCAUUGCCAAUUCCAAAGAAGCUUGCCCCCGCAACUGCGUUACCAGCCGCAGUGGAUGAUGUGUGUGUACCGUGGCCUUGGUUGUCCCUGGUGCCUUCGCCUGUGUAGUCUCUUGCUCCGAUCAACUUGCUGAAACAUUGUAAACAACAUCAGUCUCUUCUUUAUAAACAAUACUAAUAUUAUAAGAUAGACAUUUUGGAGAAUUACUUGUUGCAAGUGAAGUUUUUGCCGCCAGAACAAACACCUUUCCAUUUUUUCGGAGGAGGACCAAAGCCUUUGUCGGAGAAGCUCUCGGACUCUGGCCAAAUCCCUGUGUCAAUGAGACCGAUGAUAGUAUCACUCUCUACUGCCAAGUUUCGCUUUGUAUUAUUUCCUUCCUUUAACCCCAUGAAGUCCCAAGACGCUGUCGUUUGGAUUUGUAACUUCUUGCUCCGGAACACAGACACAACUCCUUCCAUUUCUAAGACAUUGGUUUCAGUUAUCGAACAACAUAAGUGUGUGUACGUUAAAAAGAUAAGUGUGUCUCUGUCAAAUAUUACUCACCGGCUAUUCUUUCUCGUUCUGACUCAGAGAGCCGGGCAGCGAACCCAUUGAAACUCCUCUUGUAACUUCUCAUCAAACGACCGUCGAUCGAACUGUAGAUAUAAAUAUUUGUGUAUUAUGUAUGUAUCACUUGUUAGAAUCCUCAUCAUAACAUAAACUAAUUAUAACUUAUUAAUGAUUAGAAAAUGAAUCUGUUAAUUAGCACCUUUCUCCAGUGAUCUCUUGAAGGAUGCUCAUGUGAUGAGACAUUGGUGAGUAUUCUAGCCCAGACGGAAGUGAUCCCAUGUAGACAAUAUAGACCUUCAUGAAUUAUAUUAUAUUAUCAUGUAUGCUGGAUUGGAUUCAAAUAAUAAUAAGAAUAAACAAAAUAAUUUCGUUAAUUAUGAGACGAUACCUGUUUAUCUUGAGGAUCAUCUGCAACUGCUGAGACUGAACUCAAGAACAAGACGAGGACACAUGAGAGGAGACAAAAUGAGUUUGCUGGUAGUUUCUCCAUUUCUUAUAAUAUGAAACUAAAGGUUUCUGUAAUAUGUAAAUAUCUAUGGGAUCGACAUGAUAAUAUGCAUAAAUAGUAGAAUCAUUCCUAAACUCCUCUGGGUCUAUUUAUUAUUAUUGCUAUUAUAUAUUACCAUAAUAUGAAGGACAUUUAUAUCAAUGAUAUCAUUGAACAUUGACUUGUUUUAGUCAACAUUGCAUUGUAUAUAUCUAUACUAUUAGAACAUAAAGCUUUUUGAGAUACCUUUCCAUUUUGCAAAUAUUUACAUUCCAGCCACUGGUUUAUUUAAAUCCUUAUGAUUUUAUCCCCUAUAUAUAAUUUGAAAAGCAUUGCAACAUUUUUUUGUAGUCACGUGUCAUCACUAGAAUGAUUCUUAGAAUCCUUAGAGAAAUAGAUUGGUCCAUCUAAAUAUAUAAUAAACUUUUUAUUAGACAAUAAAUACAUUAUUAAUGUGUUUCAUUAUUUCCUUAAAUGAGAUUAUGGAAUUGCCUAAUGUGGCUAAAGUAUAUAUGACAAUUAAUAAUUUUGAAUAACAAAGAUUUGAUAAAAAUAAGUGUGUAUUAUAAUUAUAUUUGUUUAAUUUUAAUAUUAAUAUUAAAAUAUACUAUAUAUAUAUAUAUAUAUAUAUGUUACUAUCAUUUAAAUUUAAUUAUAUAUCAUUUCAAAUAGAGAAAAUAGUUUUUUGAUUUAUAAAAUUUAUUUAUAUGUUCGCACCAAUUUAAUUAUAUAAGUAGUAGAUAAUGAUUUUUUAAUUAUUCAAUAUAUAUUUAUUAUUUCAUAAUAUGUUAUAAACAUAUAAUAUAUAAAAGUUACUUUUAUAUAUAAGUUCAUUCCGUGCAAGGCGCGGGUCUUAACCUAGUUUAUAUAUAUUUUUCACGAUAAACCUGAUACACUAAAAUUGUGUCUUUACUACUGCAAACUAACAAUGUAGAGAUUAAGGUUUCCAGAUUAAAGAGAAUGAUAGCCUAGAAUCAACGAGAUUACUCAAACAUAAGGAUUAUAUUGAUUUAUUAUAUUAAUUAAUAUUAUCAGAUUGAAUCAGGAAUAUAAGUAUAAACAACAAUGGGGCUUCUAACUUUAUGGAUGCCAUCAGACCAUAUUAAACUUGCAGAAGAAGGCAGCUUUGGGUCGAUGUUGCUGCCUGAAACUGUCACGGUGAAAGACUGCUUCUCCUUCACCGACUUCAUAGACAGGACAUUAGGCGUAACCUCGACAUUGAGCUUAGAACCCUGAUUUAAGACAAUCAUCGAUUUGUAGGUAGAGUUGGGGAUACCAACGUUGGUGACGGUUCUGUUGAAAGUGACGGUGAAGGAGCUAUUAGUUCCCGAAAGUUUAGCCGACAUUGAAGGAUAGUUAAGGUUUCUUGGUAAGGUAUUUCCAGUGCAAGUGACAGCUUCACCGGUAAUGAGUCUAAGGAUUUUGGAAGUGUAGUUCAAGCCGCAGAGAAAGGUGAUGUGGUCUGCUUUGUCCAGUUCAUAGACAAGUCCAGGAUUUAAAGCAGCUAUUGGGUCCACAUGGCCAGCUCCAUAAGCGAAUUCGGUUGAGG
rnacentral:lncRNA from 1 species